rnacentral:rRNA from 1 species
GACGAACGCUGGCGGCGUGCUUAACACAUGCAAGUCGAACGAAGAGCGACGGAAGCUUGCUUCUAUCAAUCUUAGUGGCGAACGGGUGAGUAACGCGUAAUCAACCUGCCCUUCAGAGGGGGACAACAGUUGGAAACGACUGCUAAUACCGCAUACGAUCUAACCUCGGCAUCGAGGAUAGAUGAAAGGUGGCCUCUACAUGUAAGCUAUCACUGAAGGAGGGGAUUGCGUCUGAUUAGCUAGUUGGAGGGGUAACGGCCCACCAAGGCGAUGAUCAGUAGCCGGUCUGAGAGGAUGAACGGCCACAUUGGGACUGAGACACGGCCCAGACUCCUACGGGAGGCAGCAGUGGGGAAUCUUCCGCAAUGGACGAAAGUCUGACGGAGCAACGCCGCGUGAGGGAUGGCGGCCUUCGGGUUGUAAAGCUCUGUUAAUCGGGACGAAAGGCCUUCUUGCGAAUAGUGAGAAGGAUUGACGGUACCGGAAUAGAAAGCCACGGCUAACUACGUG